rnacentral:lncRNA from 1 species
UAUUAUUUAGUAAUAUUAUUAAAAAUUAUAAAAAUAUACAAUUAAUUAAUUAUUAAUUGAUUUAAUAAUUAAUUAAUUAAUUAUUAAAAUUAUAAAAAUUAUAAAAAUAUACAAUUAAUUAAUUAUUAAUUAAUUUAAUUUAGAUAAUGCUAUAAAAAAUUUCAACAUUUUUUUAGAAAAAAGGGAAAGAGAACAUAGGUUAGAGAGAGAGAACAUAAUUAAAGAAAUAGAAAGAGAAAUAGAGUCGAGGUUUGAGAGAGUGAGAGAGUUGAGGCUUUAGAAAAAUAGAGGUAGAGCUUAGUUUAGAGAGAGAAAAAAAGUUAAAGUUUAGAGAGUAAAAGAUAAGUUUAGAGAGAGAUAUGAGAUUAAAGUGUAAAAAAAAAUAAUACCAACUAGUCGGCGGAUAGGAAGAAAGAAAGAGAUUAGGCAUUUUAUGAUUAUUCAAAUCCAUUAAUAUGAAGAUACCCACCAUCUCUCAAGGGAAUGAAAUUAGUACUUUGGGAUGAAUCUCAUUCCCAAGUAAAUCCAAUAUUACCAAUUAAAUUACUUAGUGUGUUUAGCCAAACACCGUCAUAUUUUUUUAUUCUUAUUUGAUUACUAGUAAUCUUAAAAAGAUAGCACGAACCAAACGCACUCUAAUGGUAAUGCAUAUCAAAUUAAGUA